rnacentral:ncRNA from 2 species
AAGGGAAAGAAAAGCGUCUGAACUUCUUUAAAUUUCAGAUGCUUUUCUUUCCAAGCU